CCUACGGGAGGCUGCAGUGAGGAAUAUUGGUCAAUGGGCGCGAGCCUUAACCAUCCAAUUCUCUUUCUUUCCUCCUUUCCUCUUUCUUUUCACCCUCUUUUGUCGGGGAGCAAAAGACGCCACGCGUGGCGUUCCGAGAGUACCCGAAGAAAAAGCAUCGGCUAACUCCGUGCCAGCAGCCGCGGUAAUACGGAGGAUGCGAGCGUUAUCCGGAUUUAUUGGGUUUAAGGGGUGCGCAGGCGGAAGAUAAAGUCAGAGGUAAAAUUGAGGGGCUCAACCUCUUCGAGCCGUUGAAACUGGUUUUCUUGAGUGAGUGAGAAGUAUGCGGAAUGCGUGGUGUAGCGGUGAAAUGCAUAGAUAUCACGCAGAACUCCGAUUGCGAAGGCAGCAUACCGGCGCUCAACUGACGCUGAUGCACGAAAGUGUGGGUAUCGAACAGGAUUAGAUACCCGAGUAGUC
rnacentral:rRNA from 1 species